GCUGGCCCUACUAGGCGAGAUCCUGUGUGCUAUUUGAAAUCCUUAUUAAAAAUUGUUUACGUUUACAUGAGAAGAGGGCCAGCCCUCCUAGGCGAGAUCUCACUAUUAUUCACCCGAGAUCUCGCCUAGUAGGGCUGGAAUUUUCUCAUAUAAACGCAGUAGAGAGGGCUGGCCCUCCUAGUAGGGCUGAGUGAAAAAGCCGUCGAAUCGAUUUUAGACUAAACUCUUUGAAGCUUUUUUUUGUUUUAAGGAUGUAGU